rnacentral:tRNA from 1 species
GUGGCGGUAUCAUAAAUGGUAAUGAUCUGGAUUGUGAUUUCAGAAUAUGUUGGUUCGAAGCCAACUCGUCACCCCA